UUCCUUGAAACUUUGCAUGUGCCAUUCCC
rnacentral:piRNA from 1 species